rnacentral:rRNA from 1 species
UACGUAGGUGGCAAGCGUUGUCCGGAUUUACUGGGCGUAAAGAGCGCGCAGGCGGUCGUGCAAGUCGAGUGUGAAAGCCCCCGGCUCAACUGGGGAGGGUCACGCGAUACUGUUCGACUCGAAGGCAGGAGAGGGAAGCAGAAUUCCCGGUGUAGUGGUGAAAUGCGUAGAUAUCAGGAGGAACACCGGUGGCGAAGGCGGGUCUCUGGGCAGUAACUGACGCUGAGGAGCGAAAGCGUGGGGAGCGAACAGG